rnacentral:rRNA from 1 species
UUAAGCGUCCAUACCACGUUGAAUACACCGGUUUUCGUCCGAUCACCAAAGUUAAGCAACAUCGGGCGCUGUGAGUAAUUGGAUGGGUGACCGCCUGGGAACACCUCGUGACGUUGGCU